rnacentral:lncRNA from 1 species
ACACAUACACCGAAAACGUCGCUUCAUUUCCUCUCAACUUUCGGCGACAGUCGCCACCCCCAUGGCCGCCGCCGCCUCUUGCCCCUCAACCUCUCCGUUAUCUUCAUUUUCUCUGGCUAACAGGUUGGUUAUCCCUUACCCCCGACCUCUGGACCCCUAAUUUUUACACACUGUGCAUCGACGAAAAAUCAACUAUAUCUUGCCUCACUGCCGCUGCUACUGAGGGAGGCAACACCGCGUGAAGCAACGUCAACGCCUAGAUCUGAGGGUAGUCGGAGGUGAUGGUUUGCCUAGAUUUGAGGGUGGUCGGCAGUGGUGGUUGUUCGCCUAUAUCUAAGGGUGGCCGACGAUCGCGGCUCUGCUAUCGCCGGUGAACCAAGAGGUGGCGCGAUUUGUGGGCUACUGUUUCAGGUGGCUGGUUCGCCCGUGCGUCGACGGGGAGGAGAGAGAGAGAGAGAGAAAGUCAAGGGGUGAGGGAGGCUAAGGCAUGACGGCGGGGCCGCCGCUGCUGUCCAGCCGUGGACGGUGGUGGUUGAAGCAAGUUUUUUAAAUGGCCGCUACUGCACAGGCCAAGUGUUUUAAUUA